AACGAACGCUGGCGGCAUGCCUAACACAUGCAAGUCGAACGAGCCCUUCGGGUCUAGUGGCGCACGGGUGCGUCACGCGUGGGAACCUGCCCUUAGGUUCGGAAUAACUCCCAGAAAGGGGUGCUAAUACCGGAUAAUGUCUUCGGACCAAAGAUUUAUCGCCUUUGGAUGGGCCAGAGUUGGAUUAGCUAGUUGGUAGGGUAAAAGCCUACCAAGGCGACGAUCAAUAGCUGGUUUGAGAGGAUGAUCAGCCACACUGGGACUGAGACACGGCCCAGACUCCUACGGGAGGCAGCAGUGGGGAAUAUUGGACAAUGGGCGAAAGCCUGAUCCAGCACUGCCGCGUGAGUGAUGAAGGCCUGAGGGUUGUAAAGCUCUUUUAACCGGGAUGAUAAUGACAGUACCGGGAGAAUAAGCUCCGGCUAACUCCGUG
rnacentral:rRNA from 1 species